GAUGAACGCUGGCGGCGUGCCUAAUACAUGCAAGUCGAGCGAACAGACGAGGAGCUUGCUCCUCUGACGUUAGCGGCGGACGGGUGAGUAACACGUGGAUAACCUACCUAUAAGACUGGGAUAACUGCGGGAAACCGGAGCUAAUACCGGAUAAUAUAUUGAACCGCAUGGUUCAAUAGUGAAAGACGGUUUUGCUAUCACUGAUAGUUGGAUCCGCGCCGCAUUAGCUAGUUGGUAAGGUAACGGCUUACCAAGGCAACGAUGCGUAGCCGACCUGAGAGGGUGAUCGGCCACACUGGAACUGAGACACGGUCCAGACUCCUACGGGAGGCAGCAGUAGGGAAUCUUCCGCAAUGGGCGAAAGCCUGACGGAGCAACGCCGCGUGAGUGAUGAAGGUCUUCGGAUCGUAAAACUCUGUUAUUAGGGAAGAACAAAUGUGUAAGUAACUAUGCACGUCUUGACGGUACCUAAUCAGAAAGCCACGGCUAACUACGUG
rnacentral:rRNA from 1 species